rnacentral:lncRNA from 1 species
UUCUCCAAGUAUAUGGUGGAUAGGGUGCGUAGGCACCAUUUCACAUCAUAUAUUUGGAGAACCAUAGAGAGAUGCUAUCAAAAUUUUCAUAAUAAUGAAUAAAAUAUUGAUUAAUAAUAAUAAUAAGAUUAUUACUUUUGUGAAAGGGAUAGGGCCACAUCUGUUCAUAAUGAUUUGAAAUGGAUAGGAUCAUACAUUUUUGCUUCAUUAAAUUGGUGGAAGG